rnacentral:rRNA from 1 species
UACAGAGGUGGCAAGCGUUGUUCGGAAUUACUGGGCGUAAAGCGCGCGUAGGCGGCUUUGUAAGUUAGAGGUGAAAGCCCGGAGCUUAACUCCGGAACUGCCUUUAAGACUGCAUCGCUUGAAUCCAGGAGAGGUGAGUGGAAUUCCGAGUGUAGAGGUGAAAUUCGUAGAUAUUCGGAAGAACACCAGUGGCGAAGGCGGCUCACUGGACUGGUAUUGACGCUGAGGUGGCGAAAGCGUGGGGAGCAAACAGG